UACUGUUAUGUUUAUGAUAUACUAUGGUGUUGUGUCACUAGACUUUGACCAGAUAUUAUUGCAUCCAAAGAUCAACUGUACCUAGAACAUAGAUACAGAGCCACUUGUUAUCAGGAAGCUGCUCUCUCAGCACAACGGAAAAUAUCUCAAUGACUUGACAUGUUCUGGCUGUGAAUUCAGGCUACAAGGCUGGUUGAAUGAGUUGCCUGUGAAAGCUACUUCAUCUGCAAGAAAACAGGCGGCUGCACCAGUGACUGUCAGAAGUUUUGUGAUUUCCUCAUAUGAACGUGAAAGGGUCAGUGCUCUAAAAUGAGUCUCUCUGGGGAGAGAAAGGAGGGGGGCCCUGCCUCUAAAAUGAGUCUCUCUGGGGAGAGGAAGGAGGGGGGCCCUGCCUCUAAAAUGAGUCUCUCUGGGGACAGAGAGGAG